UGGCAUUGCCAACUUGGUCAUUUUUGUGAGUUAAAGAUAAACAAGUAAUACAAAGAAGAAUUUUUUGAUCUGUAUGAUUUUUGAAUCAUAUAGAACUUAUAAAUCUUAUCUCAUAGAUAAAAUGACCCGAGAUCCUAUUUACUGAACAUGAAAAAAGGUAUGAGUAAAAAUAUUAGAUCUUGAUCCAAAGAUAAACACCCCAUAUGAGACAUAGUGUGUUCCUUAAAUUGCUUCACAAAUCUUGUUAUCUCAUUCUGGGGGUAUGCCCUAAAAAUUACUACAUGUGUUAUGAAUUAGAUACCG
rnacentral:lncRNA from 1 species